rnacentral:pre_miRNA from 1 species
CCCUUAACUAUUAAAAGUUUCGUUUUGGUCCUUUAACUUACUUUUUGGUUUCGUUUUGGUCCCUUAACUCUUCCUCCGUCAACUACUUUGGUCCUUUAUGUUAGGAUGAAUGUAUUAGAGUUAAGGGACCAAAAUGAAACCAAAAAAUAAGUUAAGGGACCAAAACGAAACCAAAAAAUAAGUUAAGGGACCAAAACAAAACUUUUAAUAGUUAAGAGACCAAAAGAAAACCCAAAAAUAAGUUAUGGGACCGAAACGAAACUUUUAAUAGUUAAGGAA